GCUCUUGAGCCACUGCGGCUCAGUCCACUCCCACACUGUGGAGUGUACUUUCAUUUUCAAUAAAUCCCUGCUUUCGUUCUUUUGUUGCUUCAUUCUUUCUUUACUUUGCUGGGCAUUUUGUCCAGUUCUUCGUUCAAAACACCAAGAACCUGGACAGCUUGCAGUUAUGACCCUCUACCGGUGACGUAUCUUGGCAAGCCAGCCAGGAGGAAAGUGCCUAAGCAUGGAGACAACUGCAACUUUCUGGCCAGCGCCACUCUGGUGAAACUGAAAGGUUUCCACAUGGAAGCGCCUUACUGCCGCCGCCCAGUUCGGUCUUUCAGCAGCUGUUUCCUAGUGGCUCCUUGGUAAUUGAGAGGAACUGGCCAGGGCCGCUCUCCAGUGAUCUCUGAAGUCCAGGGAGUGAACAGGGAUGGCUGCCCUGCCUGGAAGGGGGAAAGACACUUUACUAUCCUUUCCAGUUAUCCUUUCACAACUGCAUGUGACGCAGUUGGCAGCGGCAGCUCGUCCAGGGCAAAUUCACACACGUUUCAGGUGACUUAAACUCCUUCUUUUCUUAUGCUAAAUUCUUCCCUAAUCGUACUCAACUGGCUAAGGAACAAAACGGCCCACCCAGCAUCCAGUUCUUAUUACAGAUCAUGAUUAUUUUUUAUAAAGCUCACAGUAUGCUCUGGAGAGGAAAACCUGCAUGUGGCGCCCCCUCCUAAGGCCAGAGACGUCUGGAACUCUUAAGAUUGGACCCCGCAGGAGGACGUUCUUUGGGUUCUACGGACCUCAAACUCUCCAAAGGGGAUGCCCUUGGCAGAGGUUCAGAGGUCUAGUAUUAAGUCCUCCUUAGAAUUUCCUCUCGGAGUUGAAAUGCUGCUUGGACCGAAAAGUGUCUAGAAUCUGAAGUUUACUGUCUAAUGGAAAAGUGGGAUGGUAUUGCAUAAAUACAGGUCUUAUAGGAGUUAUUAAGAAGUUAUUUUAGGCAGAUAGAGAGGAAAAGGGGUCCUUGGGAAGUUUUUCUUUUAAAGCAGCUCCAGAAACCUUUCUUGUCUAGCAGGAAAGGCCCGGCUCUUAGAUCCCGCCGACAAGCUUUGAUAUCCAAAUCCCGGCCAUUAGAAACUGGGUCCACCCAAACAUGGUGAUUCCCGCUGUCUUCUUGCCAUUGCCCCGACUUGGGCCUGGAAACAUGGCCACCCCCACAUAUCCACAGGUGUGUAGGACACCAUGGCGCCCUGUAUUCGCAUAUUAAAAGGUUAGGGUGGGAGGGCCAGGUUUUUGCGGGCCACGUGAGUGAUAUGCCUGGUCAAACCAAUCCCCUGAGCCCUAUGCAAAUCAGGCACCACCUCCUCCAGCCUCCUCAUAUAAGCAGCCACUUUUCCCACCACACGGGUUUUCUCUUUGUUCGAAUCCCCUCUCCCUCUGUCUCUGUACAGGGAGGCUGUUUUCUUCCUUCUUUCUUGCCUAUUAAACACUCCACUCCUUAAAACCACUCCACGUGCGUCCAUGUCGUUUUAUCCAAUUUGGUGCAAGAUUAAGGACCCUGGUGUACCUCCAUUCAUUGGAGACUUAUCACAGGCUUUUGUGCUGCCGUUCUAAGCAGGGGCCUGGUUAACGUGUGAUGCCUUGCUUUGGUACUGUUUGGCCCCAGUGCUCCUUGGAGUCUGGGGAGGUUUAGCCUUUAAAAUUCAAACUGCCAAGGAGACUGCUUUAUCCAAAAUUUUGGUUCACAGCCUUCCUUGGAUUAUCUAUUGGGGCAAAGUAAAACCGGCAAGCUUGUACUGCUAUCUCAUGGCUAAGGUUCCGAGCUGUUGGAUCUUUGUUUAUGUGUGUGUAUACAUGUCUAGAUGUGUUUAUACAACAAAUGUACACUUAUUGUUGUAUAUUGUGUCUACAAAAUUGGCUUAUAAGUGAAAGAGCGCUCAUGAAAACUGAGUAAGUCUAAGCAAUUUUCAAGUUCAUGUGACUUAAAGUAUAACUUUACUAAACGAGCUAGCUUUAAAAUUAUUGGUGGAAUAAAAAUAGAAAUGUUUUCAGAAUUGUCAACAUACAUUUUGGCUGAAUUUUAUGUUUUUCUGUGCUAGAUAUUUUAAAAUGUCAGUGUUAAUUCAAGCUGGAAGCUGCUUAGGGCAAAUCUGCCUCCCAUUCUAUUCAAAGUCUCACUGAGAUAAAUACAUAACUAAUUGCUUCCUUUGGAAAGGCUAAUAAGAAACUCAAAAGAAUGCAACCCUCUGUCUCCCACCUGUGAUUGGAAAGCCCCCAGCCUCCUCGCCUCGAGUUGUCCCGCCUUCUGGGACCAAAUCAAUGUUUGUUUUACAUAUGUUAUUUGAUGUUACAUGUCUCCUUUGUUAAAAGUCAAAAUUAAGUACAGUGAGUGGGAUAAAUGUUUUAGGUAAACUUUUUGUGUAAAUUAAAAUCUUAGAGCUAUUUUUAACACCCAUUUGAUAUCUGGGCCAUUUCCAAUUGAGAAAGUGUUGUAAUAUGAGGAAAUAUGUUUCAAAAAUUAUGGAAUUCAUAAUUCCAUCUAUUUUUCUUAUCUGAAAAUGCCCAUAUCUGAUAGUUCUUAUCUAUAAAUGCCCAUAUCUGAUGGUUCAGGAUUUCUUGCUUUUUGGAGUUUCACUAAAGUUUUAGGUUACUAAGGAUAAAAUUCUAGUUAACAUGUAAUUCUGUACACAAAAUGUGCCGGAAAGGGUUAUUUUAUUAGAAAAAAAAGAAUAAUAAUUUUGUCUAAUCCAGAAGUUAUCUAAAAGUUAGUUCAAAUUACAGAUUUGAAAAAGUUAUUUAUGAAACAAUGUAGUAAGGACUCAUUAAGUAGGGGAGAAAAGUGUGGAAAAAGUUAAAUAAUAAAAUGUUCUUUCAAACCUGGAAACCUUGGAGACAUUUGGCUAAUUAACACUUUCAUAGUUAAAGCCCUUAGUAUUAAUUAAAGUAAAAUAAGAAGUAUUGUAAAAAUGCAUUGGCAGUUUGAUAAUUCUUUUUUAUAAUAUAGUUAAGCAUGAAACUAAAUUUAGUGUGGAGCCAAAUUUCACAUACAUGUUUGCGUUGUUUCACACUGUUUACUGUUUUGCAUGGAUAGUGCUAGAGUACUUAUUGGUCAUGUGCCUUAAGUGGAUUUCUUGAUUGCACAGAAUGUGAUAUUGGUAAACUUAAGGAUAUUGAAUUGUGUAUGGGGAAUAAAAUAUUCAUUAUGUGGGUUUUUUAGGGCCCGGGAUAACACUGCAGCCUCCAGGGUAAACUGAGUAUAAAAAUUUACACCUGGUUUCCUGCUUAUUUGUUUUGGCUUCUAGUUUUCAUUUCUUUGCUGUUUAUUCUCCUGUGGCUUUGCUUGUAUCCAUAUAUAUAAAUAAAUGAUGUUUUCCAGUUCCUAGUGGAAGGUUUUAUUUAGUUUUGUGAUCCUAUGCACUUCUUGCAAGUCCUCAUUCAUUUCAUUUAUCUGGAAUUCCUAAGCUACCUUUGUUGGGCCUGCAGAAAUUAACGGAGCACACCAGCUUUUUUUUUUUGUUUUUUUUUUUGAGAUGGAGUCUCGCUCUGUCACCAGGCUGGAGUAGUGCAGUGGUGCAAUCUCGGCUCACUGCAACCUUCACUUGCCAGGUUCAAGCGAUUCUCCCACCUCAGCCUCCUGAGUAGCUGGGAUUACAGGCGUGCGCCACCAUGCCCAGCUAAUUUUUGUAUUUUUAGUAGAGACAGGGUUUCACCAUGUUGGCCAGGGUGGUCUCGAUCUCUUGACCUCGUGAUCUGCCCGCCUCAGCUUCCCAAAGUGCUGGGAUUACAGGCGUGAGCCACCGCGCCCGGCCCAUGCCAGCUUUUUAUCCUUUAACUAACUUUUUGAAUUUUAGGGUUCCUGAUAGUUUAAGUGUGUUGAGUAUACUCUCACAAAUAGAAUUUGAGUCAUAUUUCUCUCUCUCUAAUUUCUCCAAAAUCUGUAAAGUAUAUGUAAACAGUCUAAUUCAUUGCAAUGUAUUCAUUUGCAUACAGUCAAGCAGGGUUGCCAGGGUUGCUCAGGGAGAGAGAACCCAGAAACCUGGCACGCCGGCAAAAGGGUAAGAAUUUCUUACCAGUCAGUCUCUGGCCUCUUUCUUUCUGUGCAAACUGGUUAAAUAUAAAGUAGAAGUCACUAUAUAUCUCCUGUGUAAAGUUCUAAAUUAAUUGGUUUAAUAAUAAUAAAAGCUUAAAUCAAACAUUUUGUCAGAAAAGUGAAAAUAUAAUGCGAACUUUCUUAGUUCAUUUGACUUGAGUAUUCUUUGGGAAAUAAAGACAGUUUUAAAAAUUAUUGGUGAAAUACAAUUGUCUUCAAAAUGUAAACGUGGUCUAAAUUACGUUUGAAUACUAGGUUUGCUAAACGCUUUAAGGUCAUAAACUGCUUCUUUGGCUUUUGAAAAUUAUUUAACUUGCCUGCUUUCCAGCUAGUUAAGGCCUGGGGACAUGUGGAGUUGGCCACACCCUAGCUAUGCUGGAAACAGUCAAAGGUUAUCAGAACAUAACUUAAGAGGUUUUACAUUAAAGUUAAAAUUGCUUAAAGUCACCACUGUAACAUGCGGUUAAGACUACUAGAAAUAGUUUUACAUGCAAGGUGUGUAAAAACAGUAGAAAGUGUUUUUUCAGUUUUUUUUUGUUUUUUGUUUUGUAAAAGGUUACAAAAGAUUUUUACUUCUUUAAAAUUUCUCAGUCAUCAUUUUGGCAAAAUAAAUAAUUUAUGGUAAUCUGGAAUUCCAAAAGCAAACUUUAGUUUUAAAAUUGUCUUUCCUAAUGCCCGGCUUUUUGGAUGAAUCAGAGGGCCCCUGAAAACAUCCAGAAAGAAGGUAUACAGGAUUAUUUGACUUGUUUACGCACAUGGGAUUGCCAAAAUGAUGUUCAAUCUUCUUUAGGUUGUAUUUUUGUGAAUAAUACUAAUGUAUGUUCCAAAAAAAUAUAUGGGAUUUCUAAAAUUCUAAUGUCUAAGUAUAUGCUAUCAAUGAUAAUUAUGGUUAUUAUGUUAAGUUAUUAUAAAUCAUAGAAAUAACUUGUCAGUGCUACGUACCUAAUUUGGAAAAUAAACUGGUAUCAAAGAGGA